rnacentral:rRNA from 1 species
GAUGAACGCUAGCUACAGGCUUAACACAUGCAAGUCGAGGGGUAGCAGGGUAGCAAUACCGCUGACGACCGGCGCACGGGUGAGUAACACGUAUCCAACCUUCCCAUAACUCGGGGAUAGCCUUUCGAAAGAAAGAUUAAUACCCGAUAGUACUUCUCCAAGGCAUCUUGAGAAAGUUAAAGAUUUAUUGGUUAUGGAUGGGGAUGCGUUCCAUUAGAUAGUUGGUGAGGUAACGGCUCACCAAGUCUUCGAUGGAUAGGGGUUCUGAGAGGAAGGUCCCCCACAUUGGUACUGAGACACGGACCAAACUCCUACGGGAGGCAGCAGUGAGGAAUAUUGGUCAAUGGGCGAGAGCCUGAACCAGCCAAGUAGCGUGAAGGAUGAAGGUCCUAUGGAUUUUAAACUUCUUUUAUAGUAGAAUAAAGUGACCUACGUGUAGGUUUUUGUAUGUAUACUAUGAAUAAGGAUCGGCUAACUCCGUGCCAGCCGCCGCCGUAA